rnacentral:lncRNA from 1 species
AUAUAUAUAAUUGGUUACUUUUUAUUUUUUUGGUAACCAUAUAUAUAAAUGGUUACUAUUUAGGAAUUUUGCUGAUAUACACAUACUUGUCCUAUGGUAUAUCUUUUUUAAUUUUUGUCAGAGUUGCACCUUCUCAAAUCGAAUCUGAUGGCCUAGGGUGUCGUCAUCACUCAUCAGUAGAAAAGAAACAAAAAAAGUUAUAUCCAAA